CAAUGAAACAGUUUUAGUUUGGAGUGAAGCUGACUGGGGCACUGGUAAUACAGUUACAAUACUUGUGAGCUUCCGUUGCAGUAGAUCCCUUGCAAUUACAAUGUCUGGAACACUGACUAUUAUGACUAGGAAAAAAACAGAUGUAACUCGACUUCUGAUCGAACUGGAGGUCUAUUUGACAUCUCCAGAGGAGUUGCUGAGAAGGACUGAAUUCUUCAAUUAUGUUGUCGCAAAAUGUGAUGAGAGAAGACUGAGGGCAGGAACAUGGGUACUAGACACAACAAGGAAAACAUAUUCACCUUUGAUUCCAGAUAUUACUAAUUGUGGACUCAGCAUGAAAUGAUGUAUGCUAAAACAAUGGGUAAAUGGAUUAAAUAAUUAAUAAAAAGUAUGUAAUGUGAAAAUAGACAGUGGGUAAUAAAUAUUUGCCUGAUGUAUUCUGAUGUGCUAUCACCUGGUUUAUUUUAAGCCAGAGACUUUAUUGUAACAGAGACUCAAGGCAAAUAACUCAAACAAGUAACUUAGUACAGUUUCACCAGGAGCCAAGAUGGUAAUUCUCUGCCUGCAUUCCUGGAGGCCUGCUGCCACCCAGGAAAAGCAGCUUCUGAUCCAUGUCUCUACUUGCAAUCCUGGAGGUCUGCAGAUAUCAGGAACAACCAGCUCUACCUGAAGUCCCAAAGGCCUGCUGCCAUUAGGGACAACCAGCUCUAUUCCCUGGUGACCAAGCAUUCAAACAUAUAAGCCUACAGAUAUCAUCUU
rnacentral:sRNA from 1 species